CCUACGGUGGCUGCAGUGGGGAAUAUUGGACAAUGGGCGAAAGCCUGAUCCAGCCAUGCCGCGUGUGUGAAGAAGGCCUUCGGGUUGUAAAGCACUUUCAGUGGGGAAGAAAGCCUUGGGGCUAAUACCCUCGAGGAAGGACAUCACCCACAGAAGAGGCACCGGCUAACUCCGUGCCAGCAGCCGCGGUAAUACGGAGGGUGCGAGCGUUAAUCGGAAUUACUGGGCGUAAAGCGCGCGUAGGCGGUCUGAUAAGCCGGUUGUGAAAGCCCCGGGCUCAACCUGGGAACGGCAUCCGGAACUGUCAGGCUAGAGUGCAGGAGAGGAAGGUAGAAUUCCCGGUGUAGCGGUGAAAUGCGUAGAGAUCGGGAGGAAUACCAGUGGCGAAGGCGGCCUUCUGGACUGACACUGACGCUGAGGUGCGAAAGCGUGGGUAGCAAACAGGAUUAGAUACCCGAGUAGUC
rnacentral:rRNA from 1 species